GUGGAUGCCACAUGAUUCCAUCACUGUCUUCGUUGAUGUAACCGCAUGGCAUACACCAGAAUGACAGCUCCCAUAAACUUCCAGGAGUUAUGCUGCAUGCGGAUCCAGCACAAACAGGUUAAAACCAGCCAGGCAAGACACAGAGAGACUCCAGUAAGGUCACAAGCAUUAGAGUCACUGCUGGAGAGAUGGGUCGUUGUCAAUGGACACUCCUGUACUGUAUCUUACCCAUGGGGAUCUCGUCCACCCAUGGGCCUUAAGAAAGAAAUGUCGGAAGCAGUGAGGUGCUCAGAGAUUCAUGCUGGAUGACCCUGAAGAGGACCUGGGCUCGAUUCCCUGCACCCACAGGGCACAUAGACACACA